UACAGAGGUCUCAAGCGUUGUUCGGAUUUAUUGGGCGUAAAGGGUGCGUAGGCGGCAAGGUAAGUUGGGUGUGAAAUGCCGGGGCUCAACCCCGGCACCGCACUUGAUACUGCCAUGCUAGAGCACUAGAGAAGAGGCUGGAAUUUACGGUGUAGCAGUGAAAUGCGUAGAUCUCGUAAGGAAGACCAGUGGCGAAAGCGAGCCUCUAGAUAGUUUGCUGACGCUGAGGCACGAAAGCCAGGGGAGCAAACGGG
rnacentral:rRNA from 1 species